rnacentral:rRNA from 1 species
AUUGAACGCUGGCGGCAGGCCUAACACAUGCAAGUCGAACGAGUGGCGGACGGGUGAGUAAUGUCUGGGAAACUGCCUGAUGGAGGGGGAUAACUACUGGAAACGGUAGCUAAUACCGCAUACCAUCAGAUGUGCCCAGGUGGGAUUAGCUAGUUGGUGGGGAAACGGCGCACCAGGGCUACGAUCCCUAGCUGGUCUGAGAGGAUGACCGGCCACACUGGAACUGAUACACGGUCCAGACUCCUACGGGAGGCAGCGGUGGGGAAUAUUGCACAAUGGGCGCAAGCCUGAUGCAGCCAGGCGGCGUGUAUGAAGAAGGCCUUCGGGUGGUAAGGUACUUUCAGCGGGGAGGCGUUACCCGCAGAAGAAGCACCGGCUAACUCCGUGCCAGCAGCCGCGGUAAUUC